GCCAGGCAUGGUGGCGCAUGCCUGUAAUCCCAACUACUCAGGAGGCUGAGGCAGGAGAAUUGCGUGAACCCAGGAGGCAGAGGUUGCAGUGAGCUGAGAUCGUCCCACUGCACCCCAACCUGGGUGACAGAGCAAGACUCCGUCUCAA
rnacentral:SRP_RNA from 1 species